rnacentral:rRNA from 1 species
UACGGAGGGUGCAAGCGUUAAUCGGAAUUACUGGGCGUAAAGCGCGCGUAGGCGGCUUGUUAAGUCGGAUGUGAAAUCCCCGGGCUCAACCUGGGAACUGCAUCCGAUACUGGCUCGCUAGAGUGUGGUAGAGGGAAGUGGAAUUCCAGGUGUAGCGGUGAAAUGCGUAGAUAUCUGGAGGAACAUCAGUGGCGAAGGCGGCUUCCUGGACCAACACUGACGCUGAGGCGCGAAAGCGUGGGGAGCAAACAGG